ACGGAAGGCAGCAGUGAGGAAUAUUGGUCAAUGGGCGGAAGCCUGAACCAGCCAAGUCGCGUGAAGGAAGAAGGUAUUAUGUAUUGUAAACUUCUUUAGCAGCAGAGAAAUAAGGUGGACGUGUCCACUGAUGCUAGUAUGCUGAGAAUAAGCAUCGGCUAACUCCGUGCCAGCAGCCGCGGUAAUACGGAGGAUGCGAGCGUUAUCCGGAUUUAUUGGGUUUAAAGGGUGCGCAGGCGGUCUUUUAAGUCAGUGGUCAAAUCGUGGUGCUCAACGCCAUCCCGCCAUUGGUACUGGGAGACUUGAUGGCGGUUGAGGUAGGCGGAAUUCGUCGUGUAGCGGUGAAAUGCAUAGAUAUGACGAAGAACACCGAUUGCGUAGGCAGCUUACCAAGCCGUAAAUGACGCUCAUGCACGAAAGUGCGGGGAUCGAACAGGAUUAGAUACCCUGGUA
rnacentral:rRNA from 1 species